rnacentral:rRNA from 1 species
GAUGAACGCUGGCGGCGUGCCUAAUACGUGCGAGUCGAGCGAACGGACGAGAAGCUUGCUUCUCUGACGUUAGCGGCGGACGGGUGAGUAACACGUGGAUAACCUACCUAUAAGACUGGGAUAACUUCGGGAAACCGGAGCUAAUACCGGAUAAUAUUUUGAACCGCAUGGUUCAAUAGUGAAAGACGGUCUUGCUGUCACUUAUAGAUGGAUCCGCGCUGCAUUAGCUAGUUGGUAAGGUAACGGCUUACCAAGGCAACGAUGCAUAGCCGACCUGAGAGGGUGAUCGGCCACACUGGAACUGAGACACGGUCCAGACUCCUACGGGAGGCAGCAGUAGGGAAUCUUCCGCAAUGGGCGAAAGCCUGACGGAGCAACGCCGCGUGAGUGAUGAAGGUCUUCGGAUCGUAAAACUCUGUUAUUAGGGAAGAACAUAUGUGUAAGUAACUGUGCACGUCUUGACGGUACCUAAUCAGAAAGCCACGGCUAACUACGUG